rnacentral:rRNA from 1 species
GACAGAGGUGGCAAGCGUUGUUCGGAAUCACUGGGCUUAAAGGGCGCGUAGGUGGUAAUAUAAGUCUGAGGUGGAAUCUUAGGGCCUAACCCUAAAACUGCCCUGGAAACUGUAUUACUUGAGUCAGUGAGGGGAUGGUAGAAUUCCUGGUGUAGCGGUGAAAUGCGUAGAUAUCAGGAGGAAGGCCUGUGGCGAAGGCGGCCAUCUGGCGCUGAACUGACACUGAGGCGCGAAAGCGUGGGGAG